rnacentral:rRNA from 1 species
AAACCAACUGGGAUUACCUUAGUAACGGCGAGUGAAGCGAUAAAAAGCUCAAAUUUGAAAUCUGGUACUUUCAGUGCCCGAGUUGUAAUUUGUAGAAUUUGUCUUUGAUUAGGUCCUUGUCUAUGUUCCUUGGAACAGGACGUCAUAGAGGGUGAGAAUCCCGUUUGGCGAGGAUACCUUUUCUCUGUAAGACUUUUUCGAAGAGUCGAGUUGUUUGGGAAUGCAGCUCAAAGUGGGUGGUAAAUUCCAUCUAAAGCUAAAUAUUGGCGAGAGACCGAUAGCGAACAAGUACAGUGAUGGAAAGAUGAAAAGAACUUUGAAAAGAGAGUGAAAAAGUACGUGAAAUUGUUGAAAGGGAAGGGCAUUUGAUCAGACAUGGUGUUUUUGCAUGCACUCGCCUCUCGUGGGCUUGGGCCUCUCAAAAAUUUCACUGGGCCAACAUCAAUUCUGGCAGCAGGAUAAAUCAUUAAGAAUGUAGCUACUUCGGUAUGUUAUAGCUUUUUGGAAUACUGUUAGCC